GCCAGGUGUGGUGGCACAUGCCUGUAAUCCCAGUGGCUCGGAGGCUGAGGCAGGAGGAUUGCAAGUUCAAAGCCAGUCUCAGCCACUUAGCAAGUCCAUAAGCAACUAGUUAGAUCCUGUCUCAA
rnacentral:sRNA from 1 species